rfam:Sporothrix schenckii ATCC 58251 unplaced genomic scaffold supercont1.9, whole genome shotgun sequence.
ACGUACGGCCACAGAUAUUGGAGAAUACGGGAUCCCGUCCGCUCUCCCCUAGUCAAACCAAUAAUCGGCGGAUUAGUAGUUGGGUCGGUGACGACCAGCGAAUACCCGCUGCUGUACGUU